GUUGGGCUACUCAGAUGGUGAAUAUUAUACAUAUAUACCCACAGUGAAACUCUGUUGUUAUUUGUUGAACUUCAGUUGCUUUCCCGUGUUCUGUACGAUACAAGGUCACCAGGUUCACUGGAGAUGAAUGAAAACAAACGCAAGGAAUACACCUAGUCUAGUUGAUAUUAUUGUGAGACAUAUAGUCUUCUCUCAAUUUUUUAUUGCUUGAAACAAAGAUUCAAGGAAUGGUGUGAACUUAAUUAUCAGGCAUUAUUGAAUGAACGAAUGAACAACAACAUCACAGGACAUCUAACCAAAUGAAUUAUAUAACUGGAAAAAACAUGCGCCUGGAAAUAAAUUAUAACCUGAAGGACUAAAAUGAAAAACAACAACAACAAAUUUGGAUUUUAAAUCUCUCAAAACCAAUAUGGCUUUGUUUGUGUUAUACGUAAUCCUUCUAGCAACGCUGAGUGAUGCGUGUCCGAACAAAUGUACGUGCAAUCGGCAGCGUAAAGAGGUUCACUGUGAACGCAUUGGAUUACCUGGUUUGCCGGAAAACAUUCCUGGGGACACACAACGAUUGUAUUUGUCGGAUAGUGUUUUACCUUCUCUGUCAGCUACUAAUUUCACUG